rnacentral:rRNA from 1 species
UACGUAGGUGGCAAGCGUUGUCCGGAUUUACUGGGCGUAAAGAGCGCGCAGGCGGUCGAUUUAGUCGCGUGUGAAAGCCCCCGGCUCAACUGGGGAGGGUCACGCGAUACUGAUCGACUCGAAGGCAGGAGAGGGUAGUGGAAUUCCCGGUGUAGUGGUGAAAUGCGCAGAUAUCAGGAGGAACACCGGUGGCGAAGGCGGGUCUCUGGGCCGAUACUGACGUGAGGAGCGAAAGCGUGGGGAGCAAACAGGA